GCGGGAUUAGUAUAGUGGCAGUACGCCACCUUGCCAAGGUGAUGGCGCCGGUUCGAUUCCGGUAUCCCGCUCAA
rnacentral:tRNA from 2 species